AAAGGUUUCAACAAUACCAGCGGCAAUUUCCAGUUGAUUGACAAGCCAGGCAAAAACAGAGAUCACUCUGUUUCCCCUGUUUGGCUCUAGAAAUGGCUGCAACCAAGGCUUUUCUUGUUUACGAAUCCUCUUUCGAGUGAGAACCUCAAAUCCUCAAUUCUCCAUCACCUCACAACUGCAUUCGAUUCUCCAUUCCCAUUUGCCAAUGGAUUCUUUCACCAUCAGGCACAUCAAACUCGAGAAGGCUAACGCAAUCAAGAAACAUCGCCCACUUCAGAAGAUAGCAAACUUGUUCAGGUUCUUGGAAAUAUGUGUUGUUCUGGCCUUGAUUUCCAAGUUCUCUAUUCAGCUCCCAGUUGCUGUCAAGAACUCUAGUGAAUAUUUCAAGGACUUAACAGUCGUCCUUGGAAGCCCCCGCUUCGUGUUUAUCCUUGGAAACGCCAUAGUCAUCACUCUCUUUGCAAAAUCAGGUCAGUUUUCUGGUCACGAUUCCACUGGGAAGAAAUCGGGAACCGAUCUUUACGAAGAGUUUGUUGAAAAGAGUGAAAGCAGUCAGGGCUUGCACCAAUAUGAAGCUGGACAUACAGAAAAGCAGAGCUCCUCUGUUGAGUACACAGUUGCUGAAGAAACUUGUGCAACUGUAGAAAUCAAGAAUUACCAGAGAAGUCAAUCAGAGAAAUUAGACAGAGGUACUUGCAACAAGUCCUGCCGAGAAUUGAGGAGGUCAGUGACCGAAAAAUGCAGGGAAAGUAUAGAGUCUGCUGAGGGAUGGAUGAAAAUUUCGUAUCCUGAGGAUAGUAUGAGCAAUGAGGAGUUCAGGAGCACAGUGGAAGCUUUCAUUGAUAGGCAAAAGAGAUUUAGAAGAGAUGAGGAGAACUCUGUAUAUUAGAGUAAUUGCGGUAUGAAUACAAGCUAAUUCAGGUCCUUUUCCCCCAAAUUCUGUAUUUACAGCGAUAAUGGGGUGUCUGUAUAUUGCUAAAUCAUUAAUAAAUGCAAAUUUACCGGUUAAUUAUGUCUUAAUCUCUUAAACCCAUAUAAUUUUUUUUUGGUCAUUUUUUCUCCCUCUAGCCUCUAUGCAGGGAAAAAGGACUGAUCUUUUUUAAUUUUCUCUGCAAUGUGAAAUAGAUGCCACUGACAAAUUGACGGCAAUAAAAUUUUCUAGAGAAUUAGAUUUCUCAGGAUAUGGAUUGUGCAUACGAGAGAAUUUUCAUAUGCUUUGUUGUCACAAUGGAGAGCGAUUGGAAGCUGAAUCUUGAGACAAAAUUAGCCAAGUAUAUAGCUAAUCCAUUGAAGUUCACACAUUGUCAUGGCCAUACUUCUAUAUUCUGCUUUAGCAGAAGACCGACUAACAGUUGAUUGCUUCUUGACUUUCCAUGAAAUCAGAGAGGGACCAAGAAAGAUGCAAAAAUAUGUGAUGGACUUUCUCGAGAAUGGGCAUGAUGCGCAGUCUGCAUCACAAAAAGCUCCAAGUUUUAAGUCAUUAUUUGCUUGGAAGAACAGACUCUUGGAUGGGCAUUCCUUCAAAUAUCUUUAACACAUGAACAGCUGCUUUGUGCUUUAGAAAUUUUAGCCUAAAAGAAUAGACAAAAUUAGGGGGAGACAUUGGUGAUGGGCAAAGGGAAUAAGUUCUUCUGUAAAUAAAUGGUGGGCUGGGACUUGGAUUCACUCCAACAAUCCCAUCAUAACUCUGAAUUCCCAUCCUGCUUAAAACAUGCUUGCAGCUUUUUAUCACCAUUAGAAUUCACUCAUGCUCAUUUCUUCAGCAUAAAUAUCAUAUUCUACUUUAUCUUCCAUUUGACAAGAUUGAUGAGAGUGGAAAUUUUAAUUUGUAGUCAA